AUCGUGUCACAAUUCAUCACAACGCAGCCAACGCCAGACAAGGAGAACGUCGUCCUUGCACCACAUCAAAAGGAAACAAAGGAACAUAUCCAGAUCUGCUGAAGACAUACCUCCAGAUCCCAUUUCGACAACAGCCAUGCGGUGC